UAGUGCAGCUGAUUGAAAUGAGUAACCAAAAUGUGAUGGUGCUGUGCAGCUGAUUGGCAUUGACAUCGGCCAAUUGGCACGUAGCACCGCCUUUUUAAACCUGAUUGGUCGGUGCUUGGGAUACGUCACGUCCGACUCCGAUGCACUGGUUUGGGUGUCUGUAGCCGCGGCUACAGUGCAUCGUGUGGCGGUGGCUUUUCCCUUGGCUGUGGUGGCUGGAUGACUGUUCAGUUGCAGCUAUUAAUUCCGGCACCUCGCUGUAUUGUAUCGACCAACGAGUGAUUUAGAACGUGUCUGAGUGUGCGCCCAUUGGUAAGUGAAGCACGUAUGAUGUGGUGUGAUCAUUUAAAGGACCAUGUUAAUGGGCUUGUUUGCGCUUUUCCUCCUUAGGAUCCUCCCUUUUCCCCUUUCUUUCUCUCUUACGUCGGAUCUUCCUCUGGUAUCAUUUGCGUACUAGCUCCCGUGUUCAUCGCUAUUGCCGUGGUUACCGGAGACCGUCUGCAACUGCUGCUAAUGCUAACGGCGGCGUAUUGGCUGCUGCUUGGACACCACCAAUGCAGCUGCUAGCGGGGACUGCCUGCAAUAACUCUUAGCGUGCUGCUUUGUGCUCCCCUUCA